rnacentral:rRNA from 1 species
AUGAACGCUGGCGGCGUGCCUAAUACAUGCAAGUCGCGCGAACAGACGAGGAGCUUGCUCCUCUGACGUUAGCGGCGGACGGGUGAGUAACACGUGGAUAACCUACCUAUAAGACUGGGAUAACUUCGGGAAACCGGAGCUAAUACCGGAUAAUAUAUUUAACCGCAUGGUUCAAUAGUGAAAGACGGUUUUGCUGUCACUUAUAGAUGGAUCCGCGCCGCAUUAGCUAGUUGGUAAGGUAACGGCUUACCAAGGCAACGAUGCGUAGCCGACCUGAGAGGGUGAUCGGCCACACUGGAACUGAGACACGGUCCAGACUCCUACGGGAGGCAGCAGUAGGGAAUCUUCCGCAAUGGGCGAAAGCCUGACGGAGCAACGCCGCGUGAGUGAUGAAGGUCUUCGGAUCGUAAAACUCUGUUAUUAGGGAAGAACAAAUGUGUAAGUAACUAUGCACGUCUUGACGGUACCUAAUCAGAAAGCCACGGCUAACUACGUG